rnacentral:sRNA from 1 species
UGAGAAAGUCUACGCCAAUAAUCGGCUUUG